AGCUCAGUUGGUUAGAGCGAUGGAUUCAUAACCCAUAGGUGGGCAGUUCGAUUCUGCCC
rnacentral:tRNA from 1 species